AACGAACGCUGGCGGCAUGCCUAACACAUGCAAGUCGAACGAGACCUUCGGGUCUAUUGGCGCACGGGUGCGUAACGCGUGGGAACCUGCCCUUAGGUUCGGAAUAACUCCCCGAAAGGGGUGCUAAUACCGGAUAAUGUCUUCGGACCAAAGAUUUAUCGCCUUUGGAUGGGCCCGCGUUGGAUUAGCUAGUUGGUAGGGUAAAAGCCUACCAAGGCGACGAUCCAUAGAUGGUCUGAGAGGAUGAUCAGCCACACUGGGACUGAGACACGGCCCAGACUCCUACGGGAGGCAGCAGUGGGGAAUAUUGGACCAUGGGCGAAAGCCUGAUCCAGCAAUGCCGGGUGAGUGAUGAAGGCAUUAGGGUUGUAAAGCUCUUUUACCCGGGAUGAUAAUGACAGUACCGGGAGAAUAAGCUCCGGCUAACUCCGUG
rnacentral:rRNA from 1 species